GCUUCGCGUGCGCCUGCGCGCCUGUGGCUCUUAGUGGCGCCGCCGGCACUGCCAGGCUACCCGGGGCUGCAGGAUGCCAACGCCCCGACCGUGAGGCUCACGCCGCCAGGACCGCGGGGAGAGGGGAGCUCUGCUCUCAACGCCCAGUGAGGUUGUAGGUCUGAGUCCUGCACGUGUGGGUGUUCCCGGUCCCCCACGCAUCCGCCUGGUGGUGCAUCUGUGAGCGCAGGGAGCAAGGUGUGCAGUGGAGGGGAGACCCUGUGGGACACCUCUUGCCGGCCAGCCGGAUUCCGCGUCGGAUGCCACAGAGGGGUACAGCUUGGGUCCCAGGGGCUGGCAGGUGACUCCUCCGUGGCAUCCCGUGAGUGGCAGGGCCAGAUUUGAAAUCCUGGUGUGUUUCACACACCAAAUAGCUUCCACAGUAGCAGAUAAAGUACCUUUGAACUGGGCUACCAACCCACUAGUGAGUGUGACAAUGAAGGGAAACAUCGCUAAGGUGGAGUUGGAAGGCUAGAAGGGGGAGCUCUGCCACUCAACAUCAAUUACAGACCCCAACAGGGAAGGAUGUAGGGAUUACUUCUGCAACUCAGCCAGUGAGAAACUGUCAUCACCCUUGAACUCUUGCUUUUGUCCAGGGGACUUCGAUCCCUCCCAACUUUCUUUCUCCAGGAAAUAAAGUUCCUUUCUUUUGUUUUUUGGGGGCUUGCUUGUAGUCUUGCCAUAGUUUGCAUGUCCUGAAUUGCAAUUCUGGUUAUUUCCAAAUAAACACACUUUUGCCA